GAUACAAAGUCGGGAUUCUUAACCUUCGAUUUUAUUUUGAGAUAUAAGUUGUGCAUGAAUUUAUUGGUAUGGGACAAUUAGGAAAAAUUUGGGACCAAAAGGUGAUAAAUUGGAAGUGGAAAAUCAUCCACAAAUUCCAUGUGGGCCGAGCAUAGUGGAUUGUGGUGCCCACACAAUUUGUGUCAUCUUUUGAGUGGAACAACUCUUUAAUGUGGGCCAAGGGACAAUUGUGCAAUUCAUUAAGUGAUAAAAAGAUGACCACAAUUCAUUUACUUCAUUCUCCACUUGAACAAAAAAAAAAAAAAAAAAAAAAAAAAAAAGAGAAAGAAGCUCCCUCCAUUGAAGCUCACGGACAAGAAGGCCAAAAAUCAUCCCCUCUUUUUAGCUCCUCUAAAAUUAUUCCAUUGAUGUAAACCCACUAUAUUGAGGUCCCUAAGUAGCGUGGAAGCAUCGUUGGAGCGAUCAACCCAUUAUUUUCAUCUUUUGGAAACCCUAGGCUAUUGGAAAGUUGAAGAAGGAAGACCUUGGGCAGCCCGAAUCAUAGGUUGGAUUUAUCUUGAGUUGGAUCAUAUUGGAGAGCGUUUGAGGUACGGACGCACAGCCUGGUGAUCCACCUGUUUAGGACACCCUUUCUGCUAUUCGGAGUGCUCCUCUCUUUCCGGAGCUUAUACUUUUGGUAUAUAUAUUUUUAUUAGUGCAUUUGUAUAUAUUCGUUCAUGGGUACGGCGGGGCCCUGUCCUGUCAUAUGAUUCUGUCGGUCUGUUUAGAGGUCUGUGGACAUGUUUGUGGGUUAGGGUCUUUCUGUAUGGAUGUAUGUAUAUGUUGUUUGGGCGAUCCUAUACGCCGAGGCGGCCGGUCCGCAUAUGUUUAUAUAUUGCUUGGUUAGCCCUGUGUGGCUUUUGUUGGUAUUUUCUGCGUGCAGGGUAUAUUGGAUAGUCCGUAAAACAAAGGAAACUCUGCCGAAUUUUUUUUUGGAAAUUACCUAAAUCUGAAAUAAAGCCUUGUCGGC